AGCAGGCCUCUUUGAACUUCCCUUCUGGAAACUCAGGCACUAAGCAUCUCAGAUUCUCAGCUCUCAGCUCUGGGUCUGUGGGGAGAG
rnacentral:miRNA from 1 species